rnacentral:rRNA from 1 species
CAGUAGCCGCGGUAAUACAGAGGGUGCGAGCGUUAAUCGGAUUUACUGGGCGUAAAGCGUGCGUAGGCGGCUUCUUAAGUCGGAUGUGAAAUCCCUGAGCUUAACUUAGGAAUUGCAUUCGAUACUGGGAAGCUAGAGUAUGGGAGAGGAUGGUAGAAUUCCAGGUGUAGCGGUGAAAUGCGUAGAGAUCUGGAGGAAUACCGAUGGCGAAGGCAGCCAUCUGGCCUAAUACUGACGCUGAGGUACGAAAGCAUGGGGAGCAAACAGGAUUAGAUACCCCUGUAUCCCUGUCUCUUACACA